GGGGCGGGAUGCAGGGCCUGCUGGGAGUUGUAGUCCUCCCGCCCUUUUAAACUCUCCACUUCGGUGCUGGGCGUGGCUCAGGCCACAAAGGGAAUUGGCCGAGACUGGGCCUGGGCGGGGCAUGGGUUGAAGAGUUCGAUUGUGCCGAGGCUGCGAUUUCCUUUAGUUAUUUUGUGGGAAAGGCUGGUAGCAAUCCUACCUCGACUUGAAGAGCUGCAGAGGGGGGAAGAUCCUGUAGGAACCUCAGGGACAAAUACGAAGAAAGCACAGGAUAGAGGUUGCGAGGAGAUAGGCACGGGUAUUGUUCUGACUUGAAUGAGAGGAAAUGGGCUAGAGCUACUGCCUAAGGAUGAAGGUUAGACUUAAAAGCAGGAGCUCUUCCAACAGGCCAGUAUAGGAAACAUGCAAUACCGUGUAGUAUAUCGCCAGUGAAGCCUUCAUCGGAAAUUCUGGAAAGGAGCGGAAGGAAUAGAUUGUAUGGAUUUACAUGGAAAGUCAUCAAGCAAAUCCUCUCCCAAUAAGGCUGAGAGGGAGGGGGCACCCUGGCCAGUGCUCAGAAUUCUAGUGUGUCUUGCAUCUGAGUCUACCAGGCCAAGUCAGGUUAGACUUAAAAGCAGGAGCUCUUCCAACAAGAUGUGGGGAUAAGACAACUCUUCCUCUAUCUCCUUUGAACCGGUACCACAGCAUCUCCUAGGAGAGGAGAGCAGGUGCCAAAUCUAUCUUGUUCAUGUGUGGUUCCACAGAGACUUGCAAGUGCCUGGCUCAUAGUAGAUACUGAAAAACAUGUAUUAACGCCCUUAAAAAAGCACACACACACACACACACACACACAAACACUGUAUUUUUUUAAAUGUAUUUUAUUGAUUUUUUACAGAGAGGAAGAGAGAGGGAUAGAGAGUUAGAAACAUCGAUGAGAGAGAAACAUUGAUCAGCUGCCUCCUGCACACUCCGUACAUGCCCUUGACCGGAAUCAAUCCUGGGACCCUUCAGUCCGCAGGCCGACGCUCUAUCCACUGAGCCAAACUGGUUAGGGCCACACACUGUAUUUUUUUUUUUCUUAUCCUUUUGCCUGUGAACCUGAAUUGCCUAUCAGACUCGGCCUAGCACUUUGUGCCUAGCCUGUAUGUUACUAAAUGUUUCUGAAUAGAAUUCAAUAAAAAUGGAAAAUACAAAAGUAGAGAAAAGGAUAAGAUAAGCUGUACUCCUGUAAGGCUGGAAUGAAAAAAAUACACCAAGUGACUGAAAGUGGAAGAGAUGUGGCCCUACGCAAAAGAGACUAUCUGCUUUCUCCCUUCCAUCCUGUGUUCAGCAAGUUAAGAAAGAGGUGAGGUGAGGUCAGUACUUACCAGAGAGGAAAUAGCUGGCCUUGGCUGAGAGAUUUUGAUCAAAAGCAAUGCAGCAGGUGCUUUGAGAGCCAGACAGUGAUGUUGCUAUUGCUCCCGUACUUCACAGUCCAAGGCAGGCAGAAAAGAGGGACUCUUUUCAGCUAGAAAAUGCUCAUCUCUUCUCAGAACAUGUCAACUGUGAAGAGACUGUGAUACAGCCUCAGAGAGAAGGGUGACUCUGGAUGGUGAUGGGGCAGCUCUGACUGAGGACAAGACCAAUAGUGACUGAGGAUCUAGUCCGUCAGCAAGUAGGAGGGGAAUUCCACCCCUGAGAGAAGAGUUGCUGCAGCUCCCUCCCUGCUUUGGAGGAGGGCCGGAGGCGGGGACAAAUAUAUGAGGAUGAAGAAGGACUGGAAGAGGAUUAUUAUUAUCAAGUAAUCUAUAAUUACACAGUCACCCCCACUUAUGAUCCAGAUUAUUUUGGUGCAAAUUUCACUGUUGAUUACUCCAUGUUUGAGUUAGAGGACAGACUGAACAGGUUGGAUAAGGAGGUAACGGAAGCAGAAGAGACAACCAUUAUUCAUGAAACAGAACGUGUAGACCAUCAGAGGCCUGUAACAGUGAAAUCAGUGACAGUGGAACCAGUGACAAUGGAACCAGUGACAAUGAAACCAGUCACAAUGGAACCAGUGACAAUGGAACCACAGAGUCCAGACAGGAACCAUGCUGUAUCCAGUCUGCAGAGUCCAGUUUCCCUUCUCCUGUCCUGGGCCCUCCUUCAGGAGUGGAUGUAUUUCAUGUAGAAGGAUGAGAAUGCUGUUAUGACUCUUUGGAUGGGGAUUUGGGAAGAGGAAGUUGGAAAAUAAAAUAAAUAAAUGAAAUAAUCUGA